rnacentral:lncRNA from 1 species
GGGCAGUUCGCGCCUGCGGCUGGGAUCGCUCCUUCUUCUUCGGGCAGCUCUUUCGGCGUCUGGGAUCGCCCCUUUGUCUCCCGGUUUUCCCCUUUGUGUGCCCGCCUUCUAAAGUUCGUCCGGCCAAGUUCGUCCGGCCCUGCCCGUCGCAAUGUAACAAUCUGCCCUGAUCCAGUACAAACUACAAAGGUGUAAAAGUUAUCUUUAUCUCCUCUUCUCUCUCCUGCUUGCUGCCCUAUUUUCUCUUCUCUCCUCUUCUCUUUUAUAUCUUCUCAAAUUCCAUCAAUCUUCUCCUCAAAUUCCAUCAAUCUUCUCCAUCAUAUCGGAACUCAACAGGUUAUCUUUAUCUCCUCUUCUCUCUCCUGUUUGCUGCCCUAUUUUCUCUUCCAUCA